AGCUUUUGUCAGUCAGCCACUGCUAGUAGCACCGAAAGCCUGAGAGUGAAACUGAUUUUCCGCGGUUUUCAUUGUCCAAGCUGAGAGAAAUGCAAGUAGAAGACAAUCAUCAUAAAUAGAGACAGGAUCUGCUAUAAGCAUUGUCUAUGGUGUGAGAUCUGAGGUGCAAUUGACCUGGGGAGGGCUGGAAGCUGGACUUCACUGGAAUGUAUCUGCCAGUGUCACUCUUCUUUCCCUUCAUGGAAACUGGAACCACUUUUGCUUUUCUU